GCAAACGAAAAUAUUUUUAAGGAUGGCCUGACCUAGUCAUCAUCAAGGAUGACCUGCUCGCAAGGAAUGAGUGGCGUCUUGGACGAGUGAUUGACGUCACAGAAGGAAGUGAUGGGUUAGUUCGUCGUGUAAAGGUACUAGUAGGAGAUCGGAAUCUGACAGGAAAGGGACACUACACUUUUAAAACUUCAAUUAUAGAAAGACCUAUCCAAAAAUUAGUCUUGCUACUGGAAGCUCAGUAAACGAUUUCCAACACAAGCCACUUACCUCAGACAUGUUUAGGUCACAUGUGGAAUGUUUUUUUUGUUUUGUUGUUGUUGUGCGUGUGUACUAAUGUGGCCUAGAAAUCAUGACUGAUUCAUUGUUCAUUUUCAUGUUUGUACCUCAUUCAUCAUAACAUGAUUUGGUGGGAGUGUAAUUGACCAUAGUUUGAGACUUUUAUUUUGAAAUUACACAGGACAGGGGUAAGGAGAUUCAGCGCGCGGCAAGCUUUGUUAGACAAGUCAGACAUUUUUUCUCUCUUGCGUGAACAUACACCACAUACGCACAGGAACACCUUUUCUCAUUGUUUUACUUGAAGAUUUAUGUGUACAUCACCGUUACGGAUUACAUUUUAGCAUAUUAUGUUCGUGUUAAGUCUGUUUUGUGAACUACCUGCAAGGAGCUAAUGGACAGCUAAAUGAACUGCUAGUUUGCACCCUUGGAAAGUGGAGCGAGUUUCACGGUGCUGGAAGAGCGACAAUAAAUGUCAUUGCACCCGUUU